CACAGGAAGUGAGGUAGAGAACAGCCUCUGGAGUUCUCGGGACUUCCUGUGAGGAGGGUGAGAGGCAGUUGGAGCCUGGUGCUUGGAGUUGGAGGAGCCCCAUGGACUGCUUUCCUUCAGAUUGGUCAUGUUAAAAACACAUAGUUCAAGAUGCUACAUUUUCAUAAAGAAGAAGUCGCGGGUAAUUGAGUUCUUUUAAGACAAGGCUGUAAUUAGAUUGUCCAUGGUGAUGAUGAAUGUGGGGAGAGACAAUGAAAAGGAGUCAUCACACAAACUGGGAGGCAUCUGCUCAGGGCAUCUGUACUUGAACGAUCACCUCAAAGCCUGGGUUCUUUAACAUUCUUUCUCAGGAAGCUUAAAAAGAAGAAAACGUUGCCUAUAACUACAGGGAAAGAAGAGAGAGAAUGGCAGAAGAGGAAAAAUUGAAAGGAACCAUCUUACAAUAGAUGGCAGUCCAGGGCUGCUGAGUGAUCAAGAGAUGGACAGCAUUGCCAUCUAAGUCUACAUCUGCCUUCCAUUUUUAUCUGCAGUAAGUUAUGGAAACCACUGACCAGGGCCUACAAUUUGCUUUCCGAAUUCUUCAGAUUUUUGUGUUGUGGAGCCUAUGGACCUGUUCUCAGAAUAAUAUUUUUAAAUAAUUGAAAGAAAUAAUAAAUUUCAUUUCUGUUGUGGUUGUUGAA